rnacentral:rRNA from 1 species
GGGUUGUGAGGUUAAGCGACUAAGCGUACACGGUGGAUGCCCUGGCAGUCAGAGGCGAUGAAGGACGUGCUAAUCUGCGAUAAGCGUCGGUAAGGUGAUAUGAACCGUUAUAACCGGCGAUUUCCGAAUGGGGAAACCCAGUGUGAUUCGUCACACUAUCAUUAACUGAAUCCAUAGGUUAAUGAGGCGAACCGGGGGAACUGAAACAUCUAAGUACCCCGAGGAAAAGAAAUCAACCGAGAUUCCCCCAGUAGCGGCGAGCGAACGGGGAGCAGCCCAGAGCCUGAAUCAGUGUGUGUGUUAGUGGAAGCGUCUGGAAAGGCGUGCGAUACAGGGUGACAGCCCCGUACACAAAAAUGCACAUACUGUGAGCUCGAUGAGUAGGGCGGGACACGUGGUAUCCUGUCUGAAUAUGGGGGGACCAUCCUCCAAGGCUAAAUACUCCUGACUGACCGAUAGUGAACCAGUACCGUGAGGGAAAGGCGAAAAGAACCCCGGCGAGGGGAGUGAAAAAGAACCUGAAACCGUGUACGUACAAGCAGUGGGAGCACAGAGCAAUCUGUGUGACUGCGUACCUUUUGUAUAAUGGGUCAGCGACUUAUAUUCUGUAGCAAGGUUAACCGAAUAGGGGAGCCGAAGGGAAACCGAGUCUUAACUGGGCGUUAAGUUGCAGGGUAUAGACCCGAAACCCGGUGAUCUAGCCAUGGGCAGGUUGAAGGUUGGGUAACACUAACUGGAGGACCGAACCGACUAAUGUUGAAAAAUUAGCGGAUGACUUGUGGCUGGGGGUGAAAGGCCAAUCAAACCGGGAGAUAGCUGGUUCUCCCCGAAAGCUAUUUAGGUAGCGCCUCGUGAAUUCAUCUCCGGGGGUAGAGCACUGUUUCGGCAAGGGGGUCAUCCCGACUUACCAACCCGAUGCAAACUGCGAAUACCGGAGAAUGUUAUCACGGGAGACACACGGCGGGUGCUAACGUCCGUCGUGAAGAGGGAAACAACCCAGACCGCCAGCUAAGGUCCCAAAGUCAUGGUUAAGUGGGAAACGAUGUGGGAAGGCCCAGACAGCCAGGAUGUUGGCUUAGAAGCAGCCAUCAUUUAAAGAAAGCGUAAUAGCUCACUGGUCGAGUCGGCCUGCGCGGAAGAUGUAACGGGGCUAAACCAUGCACCGAAGCUGCGGCAGCGACGCUUAUGCGUUGUUGGGUAGGGGAGCGUUCUGUAAGCCUGCGAAGGUGUGCUGUGAGGCAUGCUGGAGGUAUCAGAAGUGCGAAUGCUGACAUAAGUAACGAUAAAGCGGGUGAAAAGCCCGCUCGCCGGAAGACCAAGGGUUCCUGUCCAACGUUAAUCGGGGCAGGGUGAGUCGACCCCUAAGGCGAGGCCGAAAGGCGUAGUCGAUGGGAAACAGGUUAAUAUUCCUGUACUUGGUGUUACUGCGAAGGGGGGACGGAGAAGGCUAUGUUGGCCGGGCGACGGUUGUCCCGGUUUAAGCGUGUAGGCUGGUUUUCCAGGCAAAUCCGGAAAACUAAGGCUGAGGCGUGAUGACGAGGCACUACGGUGCUGAAGCAACAAAUGCCCUGCUUCCAGGAAAAGCCUCUAAGCAUCAGGUAACAUCAAAUCGUACCCCAAACCGACACAGGUGGUCAGGUAGAGAAUACCAAGGCGCUUGAGAGAACUCGGGUGAAGGAACUAGGCAAAAUGGUGCCGUAACUUCGGGAGAAGGCACGCUGAUAUGUAGGUGAAGCGACUUGCUCGUGGAGCUGAAAUCAGUCGAAGAUACCAGCUGGCUGCAACUGUUUAUUAAAAACACAGCACUGUGCAAACACGAAAGUGGACGUAUACGGUGUGACGCCUGCCCGGUGCCGGAAGGUUAAUUGAUGGGGUUAGCGCAAGCGAAGCUCUUGAUCGAAGCCCCGGUAAACGGCGGCCGUAACUAUAACGGUCCUAAGGUAGCGAAAUUCCUUGUCGGGUAAGUUCCGACCUGCACGAAUGGCGUAAUGAUGGCCAGGCUGUCUCCACCCGAGACUCAGUGAAAUUGAACUCGCUGUGAAGAUGCAGUGUACCCGCGGCAAGACGGAAAGACCCCGUGAACCUUUACUAUAGCUUGACACUGAACAUUGAGCCUUGAUGUGUAGGAUAGGUGGGAGGCUUUGAAGUGUGGACGCCAGUCUGCAUGGAGCCGACCUUGAAAUACCACCCUUUAAUGUUUGAUGUUCUAACGUUGACCCGUGAUCCGGGUUGCGGACAGUGUCUGGUGGGUAGUUUGACUGGGGCGGUCUCCUCCUAAAGAGUAACGGAGGAGCACGAAGGUUGGCUAAUCCUGGUCGGACAUCAGGAGGUUAGUGCAAUGGCAUAAGCCAGCUUGACUGCGAGCGUGACGGCGCGAGCAGGUGCGAAAGCAGGUCAUAGUGAUCCGGUGGUUCUGAAUGGAAGGGCCAUCGCUCAACGGAUAAAAGGUACUCCGGGGAUAACAGGCUGAUACCGCCCAAGAGUUCAUAUCGACGGCGGUGUUUGGCACCUCGAUGUCGGCUCAUCACAUCCUGGGGCUGAAGUAGGUCCCAAGGGUAUGGCUGUUCGCCAUUUAAAGUGGUACGCGAGCUGGGUUUAGAACGUCGUGAGACAGUUCGGUCCCUAUCUGCCGUGGGCGCUGGAGAACUGAGGGGGGCUGCUCCUAGUACGAGAGGACCGGAGUGGACGCAUCACUGGUGUUCGGGUUGUCAUGCCAAUGGCACUGCCCGGUAGCUAAAUGCGGAAGAGAUAAGUGCUGAAAGCAUCUAAGCACGAAACUUGCCCCGAGAUGAGUUCUCCCUGACUCCUUGAGAGUCCUGAAGGAACGUUGAAGACGACGACGUUGAUAGGCCGGGUGUGUAAGCGCAGCGAUGCGUUGAGCUAACCGGUACUAAUGAACCGUGAGGCUUAACCUUACAACGCCGAAGCUGUU